GGCGAGCAUCCCUGGCGGAGGGGGCUCCUCGAGGAAGCGGUGCGGAGCGAGGUGAGGCUGAGGUGAGGAGGGGGAGCGGGGGCCCUUCCCCCACUCCGCAGACACCGCCCGGACUCGGGGUGACUGCGGGGGGGGGGGGUGAGAAGCCGCCAUAUCGCCCUCAGGGUCCCCGCUCUCGUUCCCUCAGUCGUUCCCUGCGCCGGGGGCUGCUGGGAUUUGUAGUUCCCUCUCGGCGAGACGCCCGUUUGAGGCAAGCGAGCUCGGGGAGGCCCGGAACUACAAGAACCAUGAAGCACCGCGGCGAGGCGCUAGGCCGCCGGGUGAGCAAUGAAUGGUACGUAGCUGCGCCCCGGGCUUCCUGGGAUUUGUAGUUCAAUCCCAGAGAGUCGCCCGUUUGAGGCAAGCGAACCCUGGGAGUCAGCGAACUACAAGACCCAUGAAUCGCCGCGGCUCCUCCCGCUUCUCCCGCGGAGCGAGCGUCCCUAGCGGAAAGAGGGGGCUCCGCGAGGAGGCGAUGGGGAGCGGGGUGAGGAGGGGGAUCGGGGGCCCUUCCCCCGCCGCACGGACACCGCCCGGACUCGGGGUGACUGCGGGGGAGAAGCAGCCAUAACGCCCUCAGGAUCCCCGCUCCCGUUACCUCAGUCCGUCGCUGCGCCCGGGGCUGCUGGGAUUUGUAGUUCCCUCCCGGCGAGCCGCCCGUUUGAGGCAAGUAGGCCAGGGAAGGCCGCGAACUACAACACCCAUGAUGCAACGCGGCGGGCGCCCAGAGCUGCGGGGCAAGACGACUGCGGGGGAGAAGCCGCCAUAACGCCCUCAGGAUCCCCGCUCCCGUUUCCUCAGUCCUUCUCUGCGCCGGGGCCUGCUGGGAUUUGUAGUUCGCUCCCGGCGAGCCACCCGUUUCAGGCAAGCGGGCCAGGGGAGGCUGCGAACUACAUGGACCAUGAGGCCGCGCGGCGGGCGCCCAGAGCCGCGGGGCCUGCAAUCGUCCGUCGCCGCCUCUCGGCAUUCUGGGAUUUGUAGUUCAUUUCGGAAGAUCCGCCCGUUUGAGGCGAGCUAGCCCUGGGAGGCCACGAACUACAAGACCCAUGAUGCCCCGCGGCUCCUCCCGCCUCCCCCACCGGGCGAGCAUCUCUCAAGGUGGUUGCUGGAGGGUUGGGGACCGGGGCUGCUCACCCUCACGCGGGUUCCUGGGAUCUUGGGGGGUCCAGGGCUGUCCCCGCCCCCUUCGCUCCCCGGAGUCCGUUAGUUCGCAUCCCGCACCGUUGCCAUGGCAGCGGGGGAGGGGAACCCGCUCUUCAAAUGUAAAAUAAAUGAAUGAAUGCAUGCAUGCAUGAAUGAAUGCAUGAAUGAAUGCAUGCAUGAAU